AAAAAGAUAAGCUAAUUUAAGCUAAUGGGUUCAUACCCCAUAAAUAAAAAUAUUAAUUUUUUUCUUUUUA
rnacentral:tRNA from 1 species